CUGUCAAAAUACUUUAUUUCGGAUCAGGCAGUCUUAGAAAAGGGGGGUGAUUGUGGGCCGUGGCUGCUCCAAAGACCAGGGCGCACCCGGGGCUCCGGGGCCAGGCUCCCUGCAGUCUCGGCGGCUUCCUCCUCCCAGUGUGCGAGGGAGGCCGGGAGGGGUCCCUGGGCGGGGAGUUGCUGCGCAUCUGUUGUGUGUGUGCGUCUGUCUGUCUGUUCAGGUCUGUUUCAGACUACGUCUGCCUGUCUGUCCAGGUCUGUUUUAGGCUGUGUCUGCCUGUCUCUCUGUCUGGGUCUCUUUCAGGCUGCGUCGGUCUGUCUGUCUGGGUCUGUUUCAGGCUGUGUCUGUCUGUCUGUCUGGGUCUGUUUCAGGCUGUGUCUGUCUGUCUGUCCGGGUCUGUUUCAGGCUGUGUCUGGGUCUGUUUCAGGCUGUGUCUGUCUGUCUGUCCGGGUCUGUUUCAGGCUGUGUCUGUCUGUCUGUCCGGGUCUGUUUCAGGCUGUGUCUGUCUGUCUGUCCGGGUCUGUUUCAGGCUGUGUCUGUCUGUCUGUCUGGGUCUGUUUCAGGCUGUUUCUGUCUGUCUGUCCGGAUCUGUUUCAGGCUGUGUCUGGGUCUGUUUCAGGCUGUCUGUCUGUCUGUCUGGGUCUGUUUCAGGCUGUGUCUGUCUGUCUGUUUGUCUGGGUCUGUUUCAGGCUGUGUCUGUCUGUCCGGGUCUGUUUCAGGCUGUGUCUGUCUGUCCAGGUCUGUUUCAGGCUGUAUGUGUGUCUGCUCUUUGCUUCUGCUCCUGGCUCUGUGUGUAUUUCCCGGGUCCUGUGGCCCUCUUUGCCUUGUGUCUGAGUGUCGGUUCCUGCGUGGGCCUCAGUCAGGCCCUGGGUGUGUGGCUAUGAGCUGUGCCUCCCCCAUUCUGGCAUCUCUGCUGGGGUCUUGGCCUCACGUCCCAUCCCCAGGUGGGUAGCUGCCCAGUGCAGCAUCCCCAAGGCACCCCUGGGCAGAGGGGCCUGGGAGCAUAGUCCUGGCGGGGCUCACAGCUCGUCUCCCGCCGCCUCCAGCCCUGCACGUCCUGAGCCAGUGCUCGGCCCAGGCGCCACCCAGUCCAGCAGGGCGACCUGGCCCAGCCCCUCUGUUGCAUUCCUCAGGACCAGGGUGGCGUUGUCCAGCUCCUCCGUCGAAUUGGUCAGGUUCGCGGUGUCCUGGAAGCCCCAGUCUGCCCCGGGGCUUCCUGGAGACUCUUCUCGGGUUGUGUCAGCCUCGGGUCGGGGUCCUGGGGCCUCGGAGCCUGGCACAGCAUCAGCAGCCACGCGGGAGGCAGCAUCGUUGUGCAAAGUUCUGGA
rnacentral:lncRNA from 1 species